CGCCUUGCCAGCCCGCUCAGAACUUAAAUGAAUUGACGGGGCCCGCACAAGCGGUGGAGCAUGUGGUUUAAUUCGAUGAUACGCGAGGAACCUUACCUGGGCUCAAAUGUAUGUUGACGUAUUCUGAAAGGGAUACUUCUUCGGACAAUAUACAAGGUGCUGCAUGGUUGUCGUCAGCUCGUGCCGUGAGGUGUCGGGUUAAGUCCCAUAACGAGCGCAACCCCUAUCAUUAGUUGCCAUCAGGUCAAGCUGGGGACUCUAAUGAAACUGCCUACGCAAGUAGUGAGGAAGGUGGGGAUGACGUCAAAUCAGCACGGCCCUUACGUCCAGGGCUACACACGUGCUACAAUGGCCGGUACAAAGGGCAGCUACCUGGUGACAGGAUGCUAAUCUCAAAAGCCGGUCUCAGUUCGGAUCGGGGUCUGCAACUCGACCCCGUGAAGUCGGAGUCGCUAGUAAUCGCAGAUCAGCAACGCUGCGGUGAAUACGUUCCCGGGCCUU
rnacentral:rRNA from 1 species